ACAGCGGAACUCCGGGUGCCGGUUGAGGUUGCUGGUGGACCUGCUCUGGUGGUCUUGGAUGAGGCCCCAUGAGCGCGGCGCCCCUGGUGGGCUACAGCAGCAGCGGCUCCGAGGAUGAGUCCGAGGACGGGAUGCGGACCAGGCUGGGGGAUGGGAGCCACCGUCGUGGCCACAGCCCCCUUCCCAGGCAACUGGGCCACCCACGUCUAUGUACCAUAUGAAGCCAAGGAGGAGUUCCUGGAUCUGCUUGAUGUGUUGCUGCCCCAUGCCCAGACAUAUGUCCCCCGGCUGGUAAGGAUGGAGGCGUUCCACCUCAGCCUGUCCCAGAGUGUGGUUCUGCGCCACCACUGGAUCCUCCCCUUCGUGCAGGCUCUGAAAGCCCGUAUGACCUCCUUCCACAGAUUCUUCUUUACUGCCAACCAGGUAAAGAUUUACACCAAUCAAGAGAAAACCAGGACCUUUAUUGGGCUUGAGGUCACUUCAGGGCAUGCCCAGUUCCUGGACCUGGUUUCAGAGGUGGACAGAGUCAUGGAGGAAUUCAACCUCACCACUUUCUACCAGG
rnacentral:sRNA from 1 species